rnacentral:lncRNA from 1 species
UAUAACUUCAUUGGGCUACUCUGAUUUAAAAGCAGACUACUGGCUUUAUCAAAGCAUGGGCAGAAAUGACCUAACACCGCAAACAAAAUGCUGCUUCUAGCUUCAGCUUUUUUCCUAACACUACUGCAGUGCUCUAAUGCCCCCCAAAACCAAGCAUUACACCUGCAGACUGUAACACCAUUGAAACAGAUGCAGGAGUGGCCCUGGAUUCAGUCAACAGACAUCGCAGAGAUGGCUAUGGGUUUGGUUUAUUCCGUGUUGCUGAUGCACACAAACUACAUAGAGGAAAUUCAUCAGUUCUCUAUUUAACUUUGGAUGUGCUGCACACUGAAUGCUCUGUAUUAUCCAGAAGACACUGGGAGUCUCGUGAAUACAGUGACACCUAUUGCAUGUCCAGUGAUGCAGCCUGGGAUGAGAAGUACCAAUCCAAAACUUUAUGUAAAUAGGAGAGUGGUGAUACUACCACACAGGACAAAGGAGGAAGGCCAUGAGGAGAGGAGAGGAGAGGAGAAGAGAGGAGAAGAGAAGAGAAGAGAAGAGAAGAGAAGAGAAGAGAAGAGAAGAGAAGAGAAGGCAUUUACUCUUUGUGUUAAGAUGGGAAAAAGGAAUGGAAGAAAAGGUCCAUCCACUUUUUGAUAAAGAUUUAUGUAACCGACUUUGGGCAAUGUAAGAUUAUCACAUAUACAAGCCAGCUGCUGAAGAAAUCUCAGCUAUAUGGACUUAAUUGUACAUUAAGUCCAGGUAAAAUAAUCACUGUUGUAAACCAAUGCAU